CAGCAGCCACGGUAAUACGGAGGGUGCAAGCGUUAAUCGGAAUUACUGGGCGUAAAGCGUGCGUAGGUGGUUGUAUAAGUUAUCUGUGAAAUUCCUGGGCUCAACCUGGGCAGGUCAGAUAAGACUGUUGGACUCGAGUAUAGGAGAGGGUAGUGGAAUUUCCGGUGUAGCGGUGAAAUGCGUAGAGAUCGGAAGGAACACCAGUGGCGAAGGCGGCUACCUGGCCUGAUACUGACACUGAGGCACGAAAGCGUGGGGAGCAAACAGGAUUAGAUACCCCUGUAGUCCCUGUCUCUUAUAC
rnacentral:rRNA from 1 species